rnacentral:rRNA from 1 species
AUGGAUAGCGACCGCCACCGCGGCGAGGACCGCCGCCGCCAAGACACCGACGGACAUCACCACCACCACAAGGCCCGGGAUUCCGUGGGGCGCCGCGAUUCGGCCGACCGCGAGCCGGCGUCACGGAAACGAAAGGACCACGACAGCGGCCGGGAAGGGGGGAAGCGGCCUAGGGCCUCAGUGGAUCCGCCUCCGAGGAAGGAGGAAAGGCCACGGCGAGAGCGCAAGAAGCUUGAGUCAGGUGCUGCUAAUGGAGAUCCACAGCGCGCCGCAGCGCCCAAUCGCGGUGCUCUCAAUUCUGCACCUGCUGCUGCGGUGCCAUCUGCUGACCCUGUUCCUUCAAAGGUAUAUUCGAUUACUACCACCACUGAAAACAGGGGAGUUAGUAUUAGAUCUGACGAAGUUACUGGGAAAUCUAGUGCAGAUGGAACUGCAAAUUCAUCCGCUGGCACAAGUAGCAACUUAAGUCUUGAUGCUUUAGCGAAAGCUAAAAAGGCUUUGCAACUGAAGAAGGAAUUAUCAGAAAAACUCAAGAGAUUACCUGUGCGUAACUUACUUGGUACUGCUAUUGCCGAUACACAGAUUCCUUCACAAGAGAUUGCUACUAAGAUGGGAUUUCGCCAGGAUCCACAGUUUGCACCUCAUACCAGCAUGUUCCCUGGUGCAUCCAGUGAAGUGAAUGUUCCUCAAAGACCUGCCAAGGUCCCUGUUCUCCGUUUUGAUGCUCAAGGUAGGGAAAUCGAUGAGCAUGGAAAUGUUAUCAGCGUGACCAAGCCAAGCAACCUGAGUACUCUGAAGUUCAACAUUAACAAGCAGAAGAAGGAUGCAUUCCAGAUUAUCAAACCAGACUUGGAGUCGCUUGCAAAAUCCACCUUUUAUUUUGAUGGAAGGAUGGGCAUCAACCAAACCAAGCUCCUUCGCCCUAAAAGGCCAGGAUUCCAGUUUAUUGAGGAAGGCAAACUUUCGAGGCAGGCUGAAUUGCAGAGGAUUAAGUUUGAUUUGAUUGUGCGGAAUCAAUUUGGUGAAGUACAAGCCAAAGAGCUUAAAGUAAAGCAAGCUCAACUUGCCAAGGCAAAGGUCGAAGCUGACAUGAAUCCAAACCUAAUUGAAAUUGCUCCUGGUGGAAGGCCUCCAAACCAGAAGCCGAAGGAAGAGAUUCCUGACAUUGAGCCAUGGGACUCAAAAAUCCUGAUUUCUGCCACGUACGAGGACAUCUCCUUGGAAAAGCUUAAUAUGGAUAAGAUCACCAUCUACGUGCAACAUCCAGAGCCAUUGGAACCACCGGCUAAGCCCAUGACACCACCGCCUCAACCACUUAAGCUUACUAACAAUGAGCAGAAGAAGUACAGAACACAGAGGCGCCUCGCUACGAAAAAAGAUAGGCAAGAAAUGAUUAGGAAAGGCCUCUUGGAGCCACCAAAGCCCAAGCUCAAGAUGAGUAACCUUAUGGAAGUACUUGGUGCACAAGCUACACAGGACCCGACACGCAUGGAGAUGGAAAUACGAGCGGCUGCUGCAGAGCGCGAGCAGGCUCAUGUCGACCGCAACAUCGCCCGCAAACUCACGCCAUCUGAGCGCCGUGAGAAGAAGGAGAGGAAGCUUUUUGAUGAUCCUGACACAUUAGACUAUUUCACUGUUUGUGUGUACAGAAUCAGAGACCUGUCGCACAGUCAGACACGCUUUGAAGUGGACAUGAACGCCCGAGACAACCGGUUGACUGGAGCUGCAGUUACCACGGAUGGCAUAAGUGUUGUGGUUGUGGAAGGAGGGGUGAAGUCGAUCAAGAGGUACAAUAACCUGAUGCUGAACAGGAUUGACUGGGCUGCUGCAGUUGGUGGCGAGGAUGCCGCUGACGAGGAGCCGGUGAAUAGCUGUGCAUUAGUAUGGCGAGGUAGCAUGGUGAAGCCCGCCUUUCCCAGGUGGUUCGGUGUGCGUAAGUGCCUGAGUGAGGCUUCUGCCAAGAAGGUGUUUGUAGAUGCUGAAGUUCCACACUACUGGAACCUGGCUGUUAUACUUCUGUUCAAGACAAUGAGAGCGAUUGCUGUGGAUCACUCUAUACUUUGUAUUGUCAUGAACAUGUCAUUUUCAGACUGUAGAUGA